UACGAAGGGGGCUAGCGUUGUUCGGAAUUACUGGGCGUAAAGCGCGUGUAGGCGGUUGUCCAAGUCGGGUGUGAAAGCCUUGAGCUCAACUCAAGAAAUGCACUCGAUACUGGGCGACUAGAGGGCCGGAGAGGAUAGUGGAAUUCCCAGUGUAGUGGUGAAAUACGUAGAGAUUGGGAAGAACACCAGUGGCGAAGGCGGCUAUCUGGACGGUUACUGACGCUAAGACGCGAAAGCGUGGGGAGCAAACAGG
rnacentral:rRNA from 1 species